GGUUCCAAGGGUGCCUGCACCAGAGCAAGGGGGGUACCGGGGUGCCCCUGUCUCGGUGGGUGCUGAUGCUCUGCUGGGUGCAGGACCACCCACGCCGCCUCUUCCUUGCUGGGACUUGUGUGGGAUCUGGACUUCCUCACCGUCUCGACCAUUAAGGGGUUGCGCAUGAACUCCCUGCAUCUGAGCAUCUGGGCAUGAGAGCCCUCAGGUGACUCUGUGUCUGCCCAGGAAGGUCUGCAGUCGGAGAAGGGAAACACACUCUGCUAAGUGAAGAAACUAGGGACGCUGGUGGCUCUGUGGGUUAAACCACAGAGUCUAGGACUUGCCAAUCAGAAGGUUGGCGGUUCGAAUCCUCGUGACGGGGUGAGCUCCCGUUGCUCGGUCCCUGCUCCUGCUCACCUAGCAGUUUGAAAGUACACCAGUGCAAGUAGAUAAAUAGGUACAGCUCCGGCGGGAAGGUAAACGGCGUUUCCGUGUGCUGCUCUGGUUUGCCAGAGGUGGCUUAGUCAUGCUGGCCACGUGACCUGGAAGCUGUACGCCGGCUCCCUCAGCCAAUAAAGCGAGAUGAGUGCCGCAACCCCAGAGUCGGUCACGACUGGACCUAAUGGUCAGGGGUCCCUUUACCUUUACCUUUACCUUAAGUGAAGAAACUUGCUAGUGCAAGUUAGGAAGGAUAUCAAUAAUCAAUAUCUCCUCUCCUGCCACCCUCAACAUUCCCACAAAGGGUUAUGAGCCCCAGUGUAGCGUAUUUUUGAGUAUUUUUGAAGGAUUGCAAAGGAUUGAGAUCCUAAGCUGAAGAGUAUUUUUCUGAGUGUACUUCCUGGUAAGCACAUGGAUGUAAACCUGUUUGUACAUGUUUGUAACUUUAAGCCUUAGGGCCUGCCUUCAGGGAUCACACUGUGCUCUGCCUGAUUGUAAGCAAAACUACUUUUUGUUACUUAUGAAUAAGAUUGUGUUGUCUUUGUUCUUUUAGGAGGGAUUCAAAGGGCUCUUAUCAGGAAUAUUAGAACAUAUCUCAAUCUGUACAAGCCAAACUGUCUUAUUGUCUUGAGAAAUUCACACAAGUUUGCACUCUGCUAAGUGAAGACGCUUGCUAGUGCAAGUUAGGAAGGAUAUUAAUAAUCAAUAUAUCCUCUCCUGCCGCCCCCAGCAUUCCCACAUUCAGAUCCUUCGGCUUUUUUCAGUUGUAGAAAAGUGGCAUAAAGCGGGAGGGCGCAGAACAGACUCAGGAACAGAACGGAGAAGACAGAAGCACAUCAGCAGCCACCGCCAGCCGUCUUAAAGCACAGGGAAAAAGCAGCAGCAGCAGUAGUAGUAUUGGAGUUGCAGGGUAGUAACCUUUUUAAAAAGAUUUGUUUCAUCAAUAAACAUCAGGCUACUGUCCUCAGGGUCUUGUGCCAUUCUCACUUAAAGCUGAAAUGUCACAGAGAAAUCCAAAUAGUCAUCUUUUUCACAGG